GCUGGUUCGACAGUUCUUAAAGAAGCAUGAGAUCGCUUUUGAAGAACUUUAAUUUGUCGCUUUACUUUUCUAAACUGUUAUGCUAUUCUAAGCAUAGUUGCAGGUCAACACAAAUAUAUUGGAGGUACUUUCGAUGAACAAAGGUACAGUAAAGUGGUUCAACAACCAGAAAGGUUACGGAUUCAUUACUGCUGAAGAUGGCAAGGAUGUAUUCGUACAUUACUCAGGACUGAACAUGGAGGGAUUUAAGUCUCUCGAAGAGGGCGCAGCAGUUGAAUUUGAGAUCGCUGAUGGUGCUAAGGGUCCACAGGCAGUUAACGUAGUAGUUGUUAAAUAAUUGCCGAACA
rnacentral:sRNA from 1 species